CCUCGUCAAAGCUGACGGUUGGCUGAAAGGAGAUCACAUUGAUUUGGGCUUGUAUCUCAUCCGGAAGCGACAACAACAGUUGGAGGAAGUAGAAAUAUCGGACUGGACAACGACCGAUGUAUUUUUUAUGAAUCACAUCCAUACUUGCUUUGCGGAUAAUAAAAGGAAAAAAGAGCAAGUUGGGUGGAAAAUUAGAACCAGUUUAGUGAAC